GCACUCCUCCUCUUGUUCUACUAAGGCUUCAUUUGGGGUAAUCUUAAAAGUUAAGUUUUUUUUUAAAUUUAUUUCAAAAAUCAAGUUUUUUUUGGCUUUAUUUUAGCUAAAAAUAAAUAAAAAAUUAUAAAAGUCAAGUCUGCCUAAUUUUUUUUUUACAUUGUUUUUUUUUUAUAAGUGUUAAAAAAAGUCAGCCGAAAAAGUAGUAUCAAUACGGAGCCUAACUCUUGCCUUGAUAAUAAAAUAAAUAAAUAAAAUGUGGGACUAAGCUAUUCUAAUCAUAGCUAUUCUCCACUAUUGGUCAACUGAUCUGAGGUCAAUUGGUGCCGCGUUGCGGCAUGUGAUCCUAUCCUAUGAGUCAACAGUAAGGAUUUUAAAGCUAAAUUUAAGAUCUAACAUUACAUAACGGAUGGGAUGUCCAAAAUCUACCCUUUGUCUAAUGUACAAAAAUAAAGAGUAAACGAGUGACGUGCUAAACAAUCCGGUGUAGUUUAAUCGGUAAAAAUCAUGAUUUUGUGUUUAAAGGUCAAUAAUUUGAAUACCCCUCAUGGUCAUUAGAAGUUUUGUCCGGUAGUUAACUACAGAAUUUCAUAUUAGUGUCUCUCACAUCCAUUUAAGUUGAGCGAAGAUAUUUGGCUAUCAAAAAAAUAGGAGACAUGCAAGUUGGACUGGAUAAUUUAAGUUAAUUAUUUACUUUUUUUUUUUUUUAGUAAACUAUUUUUACUGUUUGAUAAAAAUUAAUUUUAUACUUAUUCUAUUUUUCUUGUAAAGACAAAUUCAAAAAUAUAAUUUUUUUGAUCAAGUAGUCCACUGAAUUCCAAAAAAAAUGGCUUUUUUCAAUCGAAAAUAAGCUUUUUUUGUAGUAAUUUUUUAAAAGAGACUUUUGUCCGUAGCUCCAUAGGAGCACUCUUUUAGCCUAAGUUGUCCAUCUAAAAAAACUCUAAAGUCAAAGGGCAAGUCUACUGGUACUUAAGGUUCCUCACCGAAAAGUCGCGAAGAAGGAAACCGACGCGUUUUUAAUUAAAUAAAUAAAAAUAAUAAAUAAAGGCCAACCCAAACAGAACUGAAGGAGAGAGAAUCUGAAUUUGUUGGUUUUCUUCAAGAUCAACCAAGUGUUCUUCCACCAAUUCCUUCCCCUACCUACAAAUAUGGAUGAAAAUCCCCCUAUGAAUUACCCACUCAGGAAUCUCUAAUCUCACAAAAACCCACACCCAAAAAAAACUUUUUCACUUCUUCACAAUUUUUUGUGCAAACCCAAACAAUUUUAAGAAUCUGAUUUUGUGAUUUUCUUCAUAGUUCAACGGUGGUUCUUCAACCAAUCUCUUCACGACCUAGCAGACAUGGAUGAAAGUUCCACCACUCUGAAACAAACCCUCUGACAAAACCCACAACCCACAUUUCCUCUUCAUUCAUUUUCCCAAUUUGGUUCUUCAAUUCCUCUGUUUCAAUUGAAGGUAGUUGUAGAACCGGUGAAUAGAGGACUCUCUGCUCUUCCUCAUGGCCUCCACUCUUUUGUCACUAGGAUGGGUUAAUCUUCUUCUCUUCUCCACUUUUAUGGCCAAAUCUGAAGCCGAUUGAUGUUGUGGGCUCUGGUGCAUGUAGGCAUUUUGGGGCCGGUGGGGAAGCGAUGGGUGGAAUUUUAUGGGUUUUGUGGGUGAUUUUGGGUGAAUAAGAUGGAAUCUUAGAGUCAUUUGUGUGUUGGGUGGGGUGAAAAGAUGGAACCUUAGAGCCAUUUGUGUUUGGGUGGUAGAAGAUGGAAUCUUUGCCGGAAUGGGUUGGCUUUUUAUUUUUAUUUAUUUUUUUAUUUAUUUUUAACUGAAAAGUCGUCCGUUUUUGUUCUUCGGUAACUUCUUCGGUGAGAACCUUCGGUACGAGUAGACUUGCCCAAAGUCAAAAUAGACGAAAAUAUUUAUAUUACUUUGUACAGUCUACAUAAUUUCUCCUUACACAUCAUGUUGCUUUGUACACCAUGACACAAUUUUUUCCUACAAUCCAGAUACACCUUCACUGCUACCGGGGCCACCAACCGCUGAUGGCCGACUGAUGACUUUUUUGGCACCAACUUUUUCGGUGACAUCCCUGAAUACCACCAACACCACGCCAUCAAGGGUUGCACAAAUAUCUGAUCUAUCCGCCAACCCGACCCGACCCGACUCGUACCUGAUCAAAUCCGCUCACCUACGGGUGAUAACGGGUGGAUUUCAACAAACCCGAUCACAUUCGAUCGGGUUCAAUCGCCAACCCGCCUAACCCGACAAAAUGUUACACUAAAAUCUACAUUUUUCACCCAACUAAUAAAUUCACCCGACCAACCAACCCGACCAUCUAUUGAUCUGAUUCGAUCCGCCAAUUUCUUGACCAUUUGUUCGUGUUAAAGUGCCCCAUAAACCCGACUUGGCCUCGAGCUGUGAACACAACCCUAACACCAUCACCACCUUCAUUGACAAAAAUCACCCACAAUUGUAAGUUACCAACCACCACAGUUUUUCCUCUCGACGAC
rnacentral:lncRNA from 1 species